CCCUCUGUCACAAAAGAAGUGUAGCUAUGGUUUUCCGCGCCCAACUUUGACCAUUCGUCUUAUUUAAAUUUUUUUGAAAAAAAUUAAAAACAUAAGUCACGAGUAAAGUACUAUUCAUAUUUUAUCAUCUCAUAACAACAAAAAUGCUAAUUAUAAAAAAUUUCAAAUAAGAUGGACGAUCAAAGUUGAGCGCGUAAACUCAUGGCUGCACUUAUUUUGGGACGGAGGUA
rnacentral:pre_miRNA from 1 species